AAAAAAAAAUAUAUAUAUAUUUUUAGAAGAAAUAACCAGCCAGGACUGUAUUGCAAGAAGAAGCUCUGUCCGUGUUCUGAGACCUCUCCUAUCUGUUGGUACUCUUGUCCCUUGCUGCUUUGCUCUUCAGAAUGGCCGGAAGAUUACUCCCAGCGCACUGGGAUUGCGAGUUACUUUCAGCUCUGUGUAGGACUCUACUAGAGUGUUCUCUCCAGUCCCCACUGCUGGGCUGGAGCAUCCUCACUUUGUUCUGAUUGCAGACCAGGCUCCCUGGACACCUCUGUGCAUUUCCCAGUCACAUCUGUCUAGAGAAAUGUGUUGGAAUGGAAUUGCCAGAACAAAGGACAUGUACAGAUUUUUGAAAAUUUCCCAAAUAGUUAUUGAAACUCUAAAUCCCACCAGGGGCUAGACAGUACCCAUGACCUCCUCUAUUGUAGGGAUGAGCAGGCCUCAGGUUCAUUACUAUCUACCUUGGUGGGUCAUUUUUCUCCUGGUUUCCCCUUUUCCUGCAGGUAGAAGAGCUUUUUGAGUUCUGACUUAAUUUGGUUUCUGAUCACGACUGGGUCUGCCCUCUGCCAGGCAGAGUGGUCAGGCAUGUUAACACCUGCACCAUGCUGCCUGAAAAAUUACUUGGCCUGUUUAUCACCUGUUUGUCAGGGCUUGAACCGGGUCCUUGUCACAGUAAGCAUGAGCUAUGUGACGAGCCUAACUUCUCAAAGCUAAUGAGCAGGCUUGAGCCAUAAAUGGUGGCACACAUUUUUUGUCCCAGUACUUGGUAGGCUGAGGCAGGCUGAUGUCUGUAAGUUUAAGGCCAUCGUGGUCUACAGAGUGAGUUCCAGGACAGCCAGAAUGAUUUAGAGAGAGACUGUCUCAAAGGGGGGUGGGAGACAGCUUUAAAGUGUUUUACAGGUUCCACAGAUGGCUCGGUGGUUAAGAACACUUGCUGCUCUUGCAGAGGACCUGAGUCCCACCCAGCGCCUGACGUCCUGACAUCUAGCUCUAGGGACUGCUACACCCUCUGCAGGCACCAGGCAUCCUACACAUAAAAUAAAUGAAUCUUAAGUUAUUUUGUAUGUGGUUAGAGGAUAACUUGUAGGAUUGCAGGACUUGUUUCUCUCCUUCCUUGUGGGCCCUGGAUCAAACUUAGGUUGUCAUGGCAUCAGAUUUGAUGGCAAGCAUCCUUUCUAGCUGAGCUGUUUUCCUGCCCCCAGUCCUAACAUCCAAUAUGUUAAUGUCAGCCCUGUAUGGAGCAGGAGGGAUGCUAAGUCGGCUUCUCAUGCCUUUUACGAUUUCUUCAUUUUUAUUUUAUGUGUAUUGGUGUUUUGCCUGCGUGUAUGUUUGAAGGUACCAGAUGGCCUAGAAUUAGAGCUACAGACAGUGGUGAGCUGUGAUGUAGGUGCUGGGAAUUGAACCCAGGUCCUCUGGAAGAGCAGCCAGUGCUCUUAACCACUGAGCCAUCUCUCCAGCUCCUAAAUAGAACUUUCAUUCUCCUGUUGUCUCUGGGGUUUACUGCCCCCAUCUGCUAACCUGGUCCUGGCCCUGGAAGCUUCUAGCCUUCCUUCAGGCUAAUCUAGGCCUAGAAUGAUUUCAGCUUCUGAGACUUAAUGCUGAAUAAGUUCACCCUUUCUGGUUCUUUCUGAGCUCUGGCCGGCUGGCUCAACUCACUGUUGUGGCUGAAACUCCUCUCCACGCUGACUGAUCAAUCUGGCUUCUCUCAGCCUUUCCUAAAUCGACUCUGCUUGGCCUCCUCAUGCUAGGUCUGGCAGUCUGUGCGAAUCUUCUGGCUCCUUCUCAGUCUCUGGCUCGUCUGUCUUCACCUGUGUCCAGCUUGCUCUCUCUCUGCAACCAGCUCUGUAAAACUGUCCCAGUAAAGUUGCCUUUCUCCACUUCUCUCUCAGCACUGCCCCUCUUAGAGAUUUGGUUUGGUUAAAUUGGUAAUUCUAGUUCAAAUUCUUGACCUAUUUAAUAGCUGGGACAAUUGGUGUACCUGUUACAUCAUAAGUACCCAGUCUAGUUCUACAUUUAUUAAGUGUUUGCUUAACUUUUUUUCUUUUUUGGUGGUGUUAGAGAUCUCCCAGAGAGCCUGUGUGUGUUCAGCAAGUGCUCUAUCCCUGAGCUGCCUCUUCCGCUGCCACUGCCAUCUCAUCUCUCCUUUAUUUCCUGUUUGAGGCAGGUCCCAGGUAGCCUAGGCUCACCUGGAGCUCAUCUCCAGCCUGCCUGUCCGUUGCUGAGACAGAGACCUGUGUCCAGGCUCAUUGGUUCUCAGUAGUGAGUUUAUGAAGUAGUAAUUCUACAUCCAUUAUUUUGUUAGAGGGCUUUAGAAUGGUGAUUUCUAAUCAGUAUUCAUUACUACUGACUUUUUUACAAAGAAGCCCUUGCCAAGUAAAAGCAUUCCUCAGAUGCUGUUGUGGGUCAGUCUGUGAACACGUGAAGCAGAGGCCUGAGGCGUGCAUAUCAGAGUUAGAAUAGCUGUAGCCUGUUAAGCGUUAAAGGUAUGGACUAACGGACGCUGACAUGGGAAUGUGCUGUGCUGAGGUGGACAUGCAUGAGGUGUAGGGAAACAUGCAUGCAGACAUGCUGUAUAGGAAAAGGUGCAUGCAGCUCUUUUUUUGAUAAGUAUUUUGUGUGCUUGUAUAUGUGUGCACUAUGUGUGCCUGGUGCCUAAGGAAGCCAGAAGAGGAGGCUGCAUUCCCUGGUACUGGAGUCAUAGACAGCGCUGAGCUGCUGUGUGGUUCCAAGGUCCUUUGGAAUUCAGCCUGUGCUCUCAAUCUCGGGACCUUUUUCCAGCCCCAAAAUGAUGGGUUUAACUAUUUAUUUAUUAAUAUUUAGCUGUGUGUGGUGGGGUGGCACAUGCCCUUAAUCCCAGCACCUAAGAGGCAGAGACAGAUAGAUCUCUGAGUUUGAGGCUACCUUGAUUUACAGAGUACGUUCUAGGACAGCCAGAGCUACACGGAGAAAUCCUGUUUC
rnacentral:lncRNA from 1 species